UCACAUGGGCAGGCACACUCUGCGGGUGGGUGGCCUGGGGCAGCAGGGCACCUCUGUCCAUAUGGUGUUUCCUCACAGGAUCUUUGUGCCAUGGCUAUCUCAGAGCAAGUUUCCAAGAGGCAACAGCUCUCAGACCUCAAGAAAGGGUCUGGAGAGUGAUAGUCUGAAGGCUGGCUUCAUUUCUCAACAAUGCUGCAAUGGGCCCAGGUUCCUAUCUUCCUACUCUGUCACCUGUGGGAAUUGUCUCUUCAUCUUCAUGCCUGUCACCUCAUGGUAGCAAGAUGGUUGCUGCAGUUCCAGACAUCAUGGCUACAUUAAAGGCGGAAAGCAGAGAUGGCUUUGAGAGGCAAAGAUGGUUCCAACAAACAUUAUCCAGGAUAUGCUGACUGUACCAGCCUCAUCGCUGCUGGAAAAGGCGCCCCGUCUCAGCGCAUCAGACCUUUAGUAAGAGUUUACGGUCCGUUUUCAAGGUGCAUUACCUUCCACAUAGGUAUUCCGUGGAUUGCAGAGAUGCCAUCCACCGUAGCUAAAGGGCUCCAUCUCCAUCUGCAUAAUUCCCGAUGCUGUCAGUCGGCAUGACAUGUGUGCACUGGGUCUCUCACGGCCAUCUGGCAGCCUCUCUGAAAUCACAGCUUCCCCUGCAGCCCCCAACCCUGUCCUCCAUCAGGAGUGGGGUC